CCUACGGGAGGCAGCAGUAAGGAAUAUUGGACAAUGCUCGCAAGAGUGAUCCAGCCAUGCCGCGUGCAGGAAGAAUGCCCUAUGGGUAGUAAACUGCUUUUGAACUAGAGAAAAUCCCAGUACGUGUACUGGGCUGAUAGUAUAGUUAGAAUAAGCAUCGGCUAACUUCGUGCCAGCAGCCGCGGUAAGACGAAGGAUGCAAGCGUUAUCCGGAUUCAUUGGGUUUAAAGGGAGCGUAGGUGGACUGAUAAGUCAGUGGUGAAAUCUCCGAGCUUAACUCGGAAAUUGCCAUUGAUACUGUUGGUCUUGAGUACAGUUGCUGUGGGCGGAAUAUGACAUGUAGUGGUGAAAUACAUAGAGAUGUCAUAGAACACCGAUUGCGAAGGCAGCUCACAAAGCUGUAACUGACACUGAGGCUCGAAAGUGCGGGGAUCAAACAGGAUUAGAUACCCUGGUAGUCCGCACCGUAAACGAUGAUUACUCGCUGCUAGGGGGCAACCUUUAGUGGCUUAGCGAAAGCGAUAAGAAUCCACCUGGGGAGGUACGCCGGCGACGGAGAACGUACAAUAGAGUUAGAGGCGNGGAGAGNGCGACGGACGACGACGAGGGGAGGUUAGG
rnacentral:rRNA from 1 species